GGGCUUGGGGCGCCGGCUGGUGACUCGACACUGGGGGCGGGGGCUGGGUCCUCCAGGCGGGGCUGUCCUCCACCUACCUGAGCAAGGAGGCAGCAGGGGCGCUGGGGGUUCAGACUCCGGAUGUCCCUCGGGUGGGGGCACAGGCUUCCCUGAGUCCUGUCCUCAGACCCAGACCCCACACAGGCUUCCGGGUGCCCUCCCUUCAGCUCCCGCCCACACGUGGUCACCACAAAUGACUUUCCCCCUCGUUUCUUUUUAUAAGGUCACUUUUUUUUAUGUUUAUUAGUUUUUAUUUUUAAGAGAGACAGAGCACGAGCGGGGGAGGGGCAGACAGAGAGGGAGACACAGAAUCCGAAGCGGGCUCCAGGCCCUGAGCUGUCCACACAGAGCCCGAUGCGGGACUCAAACCCACCAACCGUGAGAUCAUCACCUGAGCCGAAGUCGGUGCUCAACCAGCUGAGCCACCCAGAAACGCCAGUGCAGGCCCGGGAGACCACGGGGCAGACAGAACACAGCGCCCCAGCGAGCGGCGUCCAGGGGAACGAACGGCUCAGUCCUGCUCGCCACAAACAAGCCGCAGGCCCGUAAGCCCUGGCGCACAGCACGGCCCGCGGAAAGACGCACGGCAUCAUCAUUUGCUGACGUGCGGAUCCACCUCGGCGGGCCCGGUGCCCAGCCAGGAGGCGGCUGGAAUCAGCACCCAGGCCGCAGGAAGCGUUGGCGUGAACGCGGUGGGGAAGCGGAGCCCCACUCACGCCGGCCGGGGGGGUACAGGGUGCAGCCCCCGGGCAGAGCUGCCUGGCAGAUCCUCAGACGCCCAACUGUGAGGUUUCCAUAGCAACCCAGCGGCUCCAGCGCUCCGCGUGCGCCCAAGAGGGAUGGCGGGGUGUCCGUGCAGAACCCACACGCGGACGCUGGCGGCAGCCAGAGCUGGAGACAACGACGGGUCCGCCAAACACGGUCCAGCCCCCGGCGGGGUGUCACUCGGGCUCAGCAAGGAGCGAAGCGUGGACGCGGCCGCGUGGACGAGCCUUGAAACCACGGCGUGGGGAUGAUGGCUUUUUGGGGAAGGAGGGCUGUUCCACCAUUCAGAUUUCUCUGCCCCAUCCCCAGGACUUUGCCCCAAAUGGAUGACCGAGAAUGCACGGAUCCGCAGGCACCACCCGCGAGGACACCAGAGCCACAGACCCCACACAGCUUCCAUCAUGUGAUGUGCUCCCUGGAGAACCUUCUCCAGAGCUUCCUCACUGAACCCGUGGAAGUCCUUGCUCAUCAUUCCACGUGGCCAUGCACACCAUGUCCAACAUUUCCACGGCUUUUCUGCUGAAACGAUUUCACCAGGGUUAACUCAUCUACGUGAAAGAUGCACCAGGCUGGGCUACCCGGUCCGUUGUAGCAUGGGUCACGUUGUCAAAACUGGCCAAUUACAGCGUCUGCUCUCUCUCGGGGUCUCUAUGUCCAGCUGUCCAGCUACCCUGGGAGCUCCGAAGCCCUGACAUGGCCAAGCGGAACUUUUCCUUCCUUCCAUCAACCUUUAGCUGACGUGCAGCCCUGGGCUGAGCCCCCCAGCACCAUGCAGGCCCCGGGCAAAGAUGGGCCAAGAACCUGAGCAAGAACAAUGUUCUUGGGGCCAAAGUCCCCAGGGCUGGCUGGUCACUCUCAUCAGCUGCCUGUACCUGUGCCUAACCCUGGCCUCAUUCUUCCCCUCCAACCAGUGACAAUCAGGGACGUGACUCCGGCCAUCUCAGUCCUUCCCUCCGUGUGGUGAGGGUCAGGGAUGUGACCUGGGCCGCCCCGUCUCCCUUCCCCUCUGUCCAGUGGGGUGGAGAUGAUGGUGGGCUUCGCUUGUACCAGGGCUCCCUGCCCCUGCCAUCUCCCAAAGCAAACCUCUCCCCGCCUUCAGUAUUUGACCCACAUUGUGUAGCGAAUGUGACAAGGGCUGUGGGCCAAUUUCUGUCCCCGGGACCAUCUGUUGUUUGCGAGCAGCGGGCAGUUGUCUCCACCUUCCAGGGCGGACAGCCCCUC